rnacentral:rRNA from 1 species
GACGAACGCUGGCGGCGUGCCUAAUACAUGCAAGUCGAACGCAGUUGCGAACGGGUGCGUAACGCGUCGGUAACUUCCUCCUCGCGGGGGAUACCUACUUGAAACGCUAGCUAAUACCCCAUACUGUUUGAUUGACCUGCGUUGUAUUAGCUAGUUGGUGAGGUAAAGGCUCACCAAGGCGACGAUACAUAGCCGAACUGAGAGGGUGAUCGGCAAAAAUGGGACUGAGACACGGCCCAGAGUCCUAAGGGAGGCAGCAGUAGGGAAUCUGAGGCAAUGGACGGAAGUCUGACCGAGAAAAGCCGCGUGAGUGAAGAAGGUUUUCGGAUAGGAAAGCUCGGGUGGUAGAGAAGCGGUAACUAACCAGAAAGGGACGGCUAACUACGUGCCAGCAGCCGCGGUAAUUC